AGAGAGAUCAGACUCUAUAUAAUAUCAAGCAUGAAAAGCAGCUAGAUGUGCAUAAUAUGCUGGAGGAACUGCCCAAGACAAGAUGUUAUGUAAGAUUGUUAGUUCAUGAUAUACAGUUAAAUAAAUAUGAUACAUAGUUAUUUUAUUCUGAUAUAUAGUUAAUCCAAUAUCAUACAUAAUUAUUUUUAUUUUCAAAGAUUAUAAAUCGUAUCUUUUCGAGGUCGGAGCCGUCGCAAUCGAGG
rnacentral:lncRNA from 1 species